rnacentral:lncRNA from 1 species
UCGAGCCAUUCAUUUCGAGCUCGAAGAAGAAGAAAAGCUCCAUUUACCAAAAUACUUUCAGGAGAAUAAAACAUUAGAAGUUCAUCAGCCUUUAAUAGAUGCAAAGUUAGAUGCUCCAGAAAUUCUCUUACAUGAUGGUUGACUUGAGAAGGUAGAUCAUACUAAGUUUCUUUUAAAGGACAAUCCUAUCUAAGAAGGUGAAGAAGAGGAAGAAGUGAAAGAAGCAGAAGAAGAAAAAAAGGAGGA